rnacentral:lncRNA from 1 species
AAGUCCUUCUGUUGAGAGCUCCGGCCUCUGCCCUGGCUUUCUCAAGGGCCAUGACUGUGCUACCAGAGCAGCUGCCCCAAGGCUAAUCUCUCACCCAGACCAGGUGGUGCAUAACAGCUCCUGUCCACAUGGCUCAGAGGUCCUUGUCCUGUAACUAUGGGCUGAGGUAGCACAGUGCUGGAGAAGCUGUGACCCGUCUGCACACUGAUCAGAAAGCAGACAUAUGCAAGGUUUGUGUAUUCACAAUGAAUAUCACCAGAGCAUCCAGGAGAAAUCAAUACGUCCCCAGUACCAAUGGGCCCAGAAGCUUUUUGUACUGAUGGAUUCUGUGGCUGUGGGAAAGGACUUUCUAAGACAGCAAGAC